UACGGGGGGGGCAAGCGUUGUUCGGAAUUACUGGGCGUAAAGGGCUCGUAGGUGGCCAACUAAGUCGGACGUGAAAUCCCUCAGCUUAACUGGGGAACUGCGUCCGAUACUGGAUGGCUCGAGUUUGGGAGAGGGAUGCGGAAUUCCAGGUGUAGCGGUGAAAUGCGUAGAUAUCUGGAGGAACACCGGUGGCGAAGGCGGCAUCCUGGACCAACACUGACACUGAGGAGCGAAAGCCGGGGGAGCAAACGGG
rnacentral:rRNA from 1 species